AUUUUUAGUCACAAAAUCUAACAUAGUGACCAAGUAAAGACUCAGUAAUUGAUUGAGAAAUAACUGACUGCUUCCCGAUAGAAGGCCCAUGUGGGGGAAAAUGGCAGCUGAUACUUCCAGAUUUCACACAUAACAAAGCCAUCUACCUGGAGAUGUCCCCAGAUCACAGAGAACGGAUGCAUUUUAGCCAUCUGGGUUCAGAUGCCCAAUCCUGAACCAGUCAACGUGGCUGUAGAAGCAGAAUUAUGCUGCAUGCAUACGACUGAAUUCCCAGCAACAAGAAGAAUUGAGUGGAAAUAGAUGGAUUCUCCAAAGUGGAAAGUCAAGAACAGCUGGUCAGAAACAGUCAUCACAGAAACAGGAAUCCAGAAAGCCAGGUAGAUAUCAGAGAAUAACAUGGCAUUGUUAAACAUCCAUGCCCAACAUGGCAUCUUAGGAGCUAGUGUGCCAAAUGUGGAGCAUCUUAG
rnacentral:lncRNA from 13 species